CCUACGGGCGGCAGCAGUGAGGAAUAUUGGUCAAUGGACGAGAGUCUGAACCAGCCAAGUAGCGUGAAGGAUGACUGCCCUAUGGGUUGUAAACUUCUUUUAUAUGGGAAUAAAAUGUUCCACGUGUGGGAUUUUGUAUGUACCAUAUGAAUAAGGAUCGGCUAACUCCGUGCCAGCAGCCGCGGUAAUACGGAGGAUCCGAGCGUUAUCCGGAUUUAUUGGGUUUAAAGGGAGCGUAGGUGGAUUGUUAAGUCAGUUGUGAAAGUUUGCGGCUCAACCGUAAAAUUGCAGUUGAAACUGGCAGUCUUGAGUACAGUAGAGGUGGGCGGAAUUCGUGGUGUAGCGGUGAAAUGCUUAGAUAGCACGAAAAACUCCGAUUGCGAAGGCAGUUCACUGGACUGCAACUGACACUGAGGCUCGAAAGUGUGGGUAUCAAACAGGAUUAGAUACCCGUGUAGUC
rnacentral:rRNA from 1 species